rnacentral:rRNA from 1 species
GACGAACGCUGGCGGCGUGCCUAAUACAUGCAAGUAGAACGCUGAAGAGAGGAGCUUGCUCUUCUUGGAUGAGUUGCGAACGGGUGAGUAACGCGUAGGUAACCUGCCUGGUAGCGGGGGAUAACUAUUGGAAACGAUAGCUAAUACCGCAUAAAAUUGAUUAUUGCAUGAUAAUUAAUUGAAAGAUGCAAUUGCAUCACUACCAGAUGGACCUGCGUUGUAUUAGCUAGUUGGUGAGGUAACGGCUCACCAAGGCGACGAUACAUAGCCGACCUAAGAGGGUGAUCGGCCACACUGGGACUGAGACACGGCCCAGACUCCUACGGGAGGCAGCAGUAGGGAAUCUUCGGCAAUGGGGGGAACCCUGACCGAGCAACGCCGCGUGAGUGAAGAAGGUUUUCGGAUCGUAAAGCUCUGUUGUAAGGGAAGAACGGGUGUGAGAGUGGAAAGUUCACACUGUGACGGUAUCUUACCAGAAAGGGACGGCUAACUACGUGCCAGCAGCCGCGGUAAUACGUAGGUCCCGAGCGUUGUCCGGAUUUAUUGGGCGUAAAGCGAGCGCAGGCGGUUAGAUAAGUCUGAAGUUAAAGGCUGUGGCUUAACCAUAGUAUGCUUUGGAAACUGUUUAACUUGAGUGCAGAAGGGGAGAGUGGAAUUCCAUGUGUAGCGGUGAAAUGCGUAGAUAUAUGGAGGAACACCGGUGGCGAAAGCGGCUCUCUGGUCUGUAACUGACGCUGAGGCUCGAAAGCGUGGGGAGCAAACAGG